ACGCUCGACACCUACGGGAGGCAGCAGUUGGGAAUAUUGGACAAUGGAGGGAACUCUGAUCCAGUGACGCCGCGUGAAGGAAGAAGGUCUUCGGAUUGUAAACUUAUUUUAUCAGGGAAGAAAGAAAUGACAGUACCUGAAGAAGAAGGACCGGCUAACUAUGUGGCAGCAGCCGCGGUAAUCUGAGCGGGCUGGCAAGGC
rnacentral:rRNA from 1 species